rnacentral:rRNA from 1 species
CCUACGGGAGACAGCAGUGGGGAAUAUUGCACAAUGGGGGAAACCCUGAUGCAGCGACGCCGCGUGAGUGAAGAAGUAAUUCGUUAUGGAAAGCUCUAUCAGCAGGGAAGAAAAGGACGGUACCUGAGUAAGAAGCCCCGGCUAACUACGUGCCAGCAGCCGCGGUAAUACGUAGGGGGCAAGCGUUAUCCGGAUUUACUGGGUGUAAAGGGAGCGUAGACGGCAGUGCAAGUCUGGAGUGAAAGGCCGGGGCUCAACCCCCGGACUGCUCUGGAAACUGUCAGGCUGGAGUGCAGGAGAGGUAAGCGGAAUUCCUAGUGUAGCGGUGAAAUGCGUAGAUAUUAGGAGGAACACCAGUGGCGAAGGCGGCUUACUGGACUGUAACUGACGUUGAGGCUCGAAAGCGUGGGGAGCAAACAGGAUUAGAUACCCCUGUAGUC